rnacentral:rRNA from 1 species
GCUCAUUAAAUCAGUUAUCGUUUAUUUGAUAGUACCUUACUACUUGGAUAACCGUGGUAAUUCUAGAGCUAAUACAUGCUAAAAACCCCGACUUCGGGAGGGGUGUAUUUAUUAGAUAAAAAACCAAUGCCCUUCGGGGCUCUUUGGUGAUUCAUGAUAACUUAACGAAUCGCAUGGCCUUGCGCCGGCGAUGGUUCAUUCAAAUUUCUGCCCUAUUAACUUUCGAUGGUAGGAUAGAGGCCUACCAUGGUAUCAAUGGGUAACGGGGAAUUAGGGUUCUAUUCCGGAGAGGGAGCCUGAGAAACGGCUACCACAUCCAAGGAAGGCAGCAGGCGCGCAAAUUACCCAAUCCCGACACGGGGAGGUAGUGACAAUAAAUACUGAUACAGGGCUCUUUUGGGUCUUGUAAUUGGAAUGAGUACAAUUUAAAUACCUUAACGAGGAACAAUUGGAGGGCAAGUCUGGUGCCAGCAGCCGCGGUAAUUCCAGCUCCAAUAGCGUAUAUUAAAGUUGUUGCAGUUAAAAAGCUCGUAGUUGAACCUUGGGCCUGGCUGGCCGGUCCGCCUCACCGCGUGUACUGGUCCGGCCGGGCCUUUCCUUCUGGGGAUCCGCAUGGCCUUCACUGGCUGUGUCGGGGAACCAGGACUUUUACUUUGAAAAAAUUAGAGUGUUCAAAGCAGGCCUUUGCUCGAAUACAUUAGCAUGGAAUAAUAGAAUAGGACGUGCGGUCCUAUUUUGUUGGUUUCUAGGACCGCCGUAAUGAUUAAUAGGGAUAGUCGGGGGCAUCAGUAUUCAAUUGUCAGAGGUGAAAUUCUUGGAUUUAUUGAAGACUAACUACUGCGAAAGCAUUUGCCAAGGAUGUUUUCAUUAAUCAGUGAACGAAAGUUAGGGGAUCGAAGACGAUCAGAUACCGUCGUAGUCUUAACCGUAAACUAUGCCGACUAGGGAUCGGGCGAUGUUAUUCUUUUGACUCGCUCGGCACCUUACGAG